CAAAGCCAGUGCAUUGUCACAUCCAUCUUAGGCUUUGGGUUAUUACCGUUGGGGCUCCCUUGUUCCAUUUCAUUUCUCCCCAAAAUUUUUGCUGAAUAUUUUCCCUCUUCUCAUUUUCCCUUCCCUUUUCAUCCCCAGCGAGCUAGUUCCAUGGCACCACAGUCCGUGAUCGCAGCACUAAACCAGGCUUGAGAAGAACAUUGCGAGAUUGAAGAACAACAUGUGAUCAAAGCACUAAACCCGGCCUAAAUCUUCAUCGGCGAGUCUACCAAGCUCUGUCACCGUGUCCAUACCUCUCUCUCCCUCUCCCAGGGGGAUUCUAAGGCAGCUACAUUAUGGAAGAAAGAGUGUCCUAAUUAUGACAAGCUAAAGCAACUUUUUGCCCCUAAUACUGCAACCGAUUCCUUUCAAAUUUCCUCAAACAUGCCAAUCCCAGAUAGUGAUGAAGGGUGUGCUCUGGAGGAGGAACUUGCCAAUGAGGCAUGUUGUACAUAGUUGGGUGAUGAUGAUUGGUACAAUCCUAACAUGGAGGGCAUAACCUAAGACGAUCCCCUUGUUGAUGAGCAAACCCAACGUGCGAACAAUCGUCCCAUGGAAGAGCCUACUACCAAAGGGAAGAAGGUUGCCAAGAAAGUGGAUAGGGCUAGUGAGAUGAUCAUGGCUCUUCAAGAGUACACUGUCUUAGUAAGGGAAAGGUUUUCCAAGAAAAAGGGAAAGUCUAGUCGUAGCUUUGAUCAUGUUGCACAAUCCACCGGUGGUGGCGAUCCUUGUUCACUUGGGAGAGCUUUAGAAGUGCUAAACCAAUAUGAAGAUCUUGAUGAUGACACCUAUGUUAACAUCCCCAAGGCUUUUCAAAAGAAGAAAAGGGUGUUGUUCAUGGGCAUGCUAGAGCAUAGGAGAAGGAGGUGGAUGGAGCACCAUGCUUAGCAGCGGGAUAAUUAAUGGGGAUUGCUUUUGUGAUGUUUUGUUAUAUGACUUCGAUGUGAAUCACUUGGUUUAGUUUUUAAGUACUAUUUAAGGA